rnacentral:lncRNA from 1 species
AGUGUUUAGGACACACCAGCAUGGGGCCUAUAGAGGCUAAACAUGAUUUGUUAUUUACCUGGAAUUAAAACUGAACUGGCAUCCUGUAUCUUUAUUUACUGGUAACUCUACCUGGAGCGACCUGAGCUGUCCCUUCCUGUCCUCCGCAGUGUCAGCUGCCUGUUUAGAUGUGACUCUGGACCAGACCUGCGUGUGUGGGGGGGUUUCCCCUUUAAAGUCCUCUUUCCCCUUGACAGAAGGGGAAACUGACGCUCAGGAAGAGGGAACUGCGGUGAGGACCUGCAGAUGUGGAACCACCCGCUCUCCAGUGAACGCUGGCCCGGGGAGGAGGAGCUGGCGCUCAGAGCCCUGGGUCCCCUGUGGUCCCGGGCCCUCCUCCUCUGGGCUCCCCUUCCUCACCAGCCCCUGCACUCUGCCCGCAUUCAGGGAGCUGGGGGUCCUGGCCCAAGGCCUGGAGCUCCCCCUACCCGCUGUCAGAGCCGAUUUCUACGUGGUGAAUUUUCAGGAAUUCUAGGAGCCAGGUGGUAGCUCACAUGAGUCACAGUGAAAAUAUCUCCACCGCAGACACCGGCACACACCAUGAACUCCCCCAGAGCCAGCAUUAAACGCUCCGCAGCAGGACCCUGACCCCCCACCCGGCGCCCCAUAACCCAGGACAGGUGUGGGGUCUGGCCCCAGGUCCCCAGCCUGCCUCAGGACAACAGAGAUGUGAUGGCCCUCCACGCUCCACACAGUCGCACCAAGGCUGUGACGGAGGACCACGGGGAGACCACUCUGCCAGGCUGGAUCCCCUCAGGCCCUGGCUCCCGGGCCCUCCCCAGUUUCCGGAGAGCCUCCUGACCGUCCCCUCUGUGACCAGGUCUACGCAGCAGGCCUGCUGGACUCCCAAAGCCUGCCCCAGCCCAGCACAGCCCGAGUGAAAGCAGGAGCAUCAGGGCUGCGGUGAUAACGUGUUUCCAUCAUUCUGCGGGGUUUGGGUUUGUUUCCCCUAGAGGAGACAGUCAACAAAAACAGAACAUUUCAGUAGAACCAACAAACUAAGUAACUGUUCAC